AUAAAUAUUCCGCCGAAUUGUAUAUUGUGUAUAAUUAUGAAUUACUGGAAUUACUGGAAAUAACAAUAUAAGAAAAAAGUUUAAAGAAAUUCAUAACGGAAAGCUUUCCACCCCUAAACUAUUUUAUUUUACUUUUUUAUCCUACAUCGAUCUCAGUUUGGUGUUGUCCCUAACGGAAAGUAUAAGCAUGCAUAUCGAGGCUAUCUUAUGAUUAUAUAAGCUGUGAUUUAAAAAUUUAAAUAAAUCUUCUGAAUUUUUAUGGCUCUUGACAAAAGAAAAUGUAACUCUUCUGGAAAAACUGAGCUGUUAUAUUUGUUACUGUUUUGAAUUAAGGAGAUCAGGUUGGAAUAUUGAGACUAAGUCAAGUAAAUGUUUUGAGAAUGAAUGCAUAUUAUGUAAUUUUAUUGUCGAGUCUGUGACAAAAGUCGCAGAAAGCUCGACAUAGGGAUCGUGGUCCGGCGGCGGCGGCGUUAGCUAACUUCUUAAAAGCUUUAUAUUUUAUAAGUUGGAAGACCUGGAUGCUUCAUCCUUUGUAUAUGGCUUUGUAUAUGGAAGCCUCAUGUUACGAAGAUUCUCAGUGUCAGUCACGUGUCCAAUGUCCUUGACCUCAUUUUCAUGGUUCAGUGACUACUUGAAAAAAGUAAAGAUUUUUUGAAACGUUAAAUUCUC
rnacentral:lncRNA from 1 species